UCUCUUUUUUCCUCAUCAUUCUCUCUCCUCUCUCUCGAAUCUCUUUCUCCCACCAGACCCGUCGAAGCUUCGACCACGCGGGCCAAGAGAGCUUCCGAGUUGUGAGGUUUAAUUCCGCCAAGAGAGCUUCCGAGUUGAAGUUCUUCUUGGAGGACCCUGAAAAUUUAUUCAUUCAUUCAGAGAGAGAGAGAGAGAGAGAGAGAUCGAAUAUUCAAAAUCUAAAAAAGGGGAGAAAGGUAUUGAUUAACUCUGGCUUUAUUCAUUUCUGCAAAUCUAGACUGAAAAUCCCAACCCUAGAAAAUAAGAAGAAGAAGAAGAAGAAAGGGAGUGUUUUUUUGUUGGAAAGCUGUGAUUUUUAAAAUCUCUGAAGAACACUUCAUUUCGUGUACCCCAGCCGUUACCACGGAAGAUUUCAGCAAGAUCUUCGAAUUCCCAUUUCCCAAAACGCCAUCAGAAUUCGAGACGAUACGACCCGGAGAGGGAAUUCGUUGUUGAUUUGAUUCGGAAGAGCCAGCUGAAAGGAAAUGGCUUUUGAGCCUUUCCUCCACUGCAUUUCUUUCUGUUGUUCUCUUUAACAUCCGCCGCCUUUAGCUUCUCGAAACCCUUCCCGUUGAUCCUUCACAAACCACUCGCCUGUUAUUGAAACAAAAAUUAUACAUAUAUAUAUAACAAUAAGGAAUCCCUAAUCUUAUUCCCUCUAUUUGAAGCUUCAAGUUCAUUCUCUGCUCCUCACUCUCACAGAGCUGGUUACGGUGCUCGCCUAGUGCAAGAGACUUAGAGCCCUUGAUAAGGCAUCCUAAUGUUGUAGCUUUGAAAGCUUACUACUGGUCUGUAGAUGAGAAGCUGCUCAUAUAUGAUUACAUUUCCAAUGGAAAUCUUUCCACUGCACUUCAUGGGAGGUCUGGAACAGAGUCAUUCACAUCCCUAUCAUGGUCUGUUCGGCUAAAAAUCAUGAAAGGAAUUGCUAAAGGCCUCAAGGGUACUGAAAUUGGAGAGAAAUAGUCUGGAGUAUCUUCUACACCACUUUUGUGGAGUAACUGCUAAUAAAGAGUUCUGGGGAGUGGUUUUGAGGUGAUUUCUGUUGGAAGAAAAAAGCUUGUUCGUUCUGUUCCAACAGAGUUGAACAAAGACCAUUUCAUAGU